rnacentral:tRNA from 2 species
GGCUGGGUUUCUAGCCGUUAGGCUACACCCUUGGUAAGGGUGAGGUCACGAGUUCAAUCCUCGUCACGGGCU